GAUGAACGCUGGCGGCGUGCCUAAUACAUGCAAGUCGAGCGAACCACUUCGGUGGUGAGCGGCGAACGGGUGAGUAACACGUAGGUGAUCUGCCCAUCAGACGGGGACAACGAUUGGAAACGAUCGCUAAUACCGGAUAGGACGAAAGUUUAAAGGUGCUUCUGGCACCGCUGAUGGAUGAGCCUGCGGCGCAUUAGCUAGUUGGUAGGGUAAAGGCCUACCAAGGCGACGAUGCGUAGCCGACCUGAGAGGGUGAACGGCCACACUGGGACUGAGACACGGCCCAGACUCCUACGGGAGGCAGCAGUAGGGAAUCUUCGGCAAUGGGCGAGAGCCUGACCGAGCAACGCCGCGUGAAUGAUGAAGGCCUUCGGGUUGUAAAAUUCUGUUAUAAGGGAAGAACGACUUUAGUAGGAAAUGGCUAGAGUGUGACGGUACCUUAUGAGAAAGCCACGGCUAACUACGUGCCAGCAGCCGCGGUAACAC
rnacentral:rRNA from 1 species